rnacentral:misc_RNA from 1 species
GAAUAUUGUUUGCUGGAAACAUGAGCUCUCCUUUGAAUUUAUUCUUAGUUGAAAAAUCAUGUCGUUAUUGCUUUCCAACUUCACUUUAAUCUCUGUACUCCCUUUUGCAAAAUUUUCUUUGCUGAAAUUCCUUUAUCAUGUAUAUUAGUUAUUAAAAGCAUACUUCUAUUAUUUGUAGACACAUGACUUUUUAUUCAACGUGGAGUGUAUGUCAUUUUCUUAAUCUUUUUUGGAGUCCCUUUGUGAAACUAAUUCUAAUAAAAUCAAUUUGAUUCUGUGGCAUAUUGGAUUAGUGGUACAGAUCUUGAG